GAACCUUACCUGGGCUCGAAAUGCUAUGGACCGGAGUAGAAAUAUUCCUUCCCCGCAAGGGGCCGUAGUAUAGGUGCUGCAUGGCUGUCGUCAGCUCGUGUCGUGAGAUGUUGGGUUAAGUCCCGCAACGAGCGCAACCCUUACUUCCAGUUGCCAUCAUUUAGUUGGGCACUCUGGCAGAACCGCCUCGGAUAACGGGGAGGAAGGUGGGGAUGACGUCAAGUCCUCAUGGCCUUUAUGUCCAGGGCUACACACGUGCUACAAUGGUCGGUACAAACCGUCGCAAACCCGCGAGGGGGAGCUAAUCGGAAAAAAGCCGACCUCAGUUCGGAUUGUAGUCUGCAACUCGACUACAUGAAGCUGGAAUCGCUAGUAAUCGCGGAUCAGAAUGCCGCGGUGAAUACGUUCCCGGGCCUUGUCACACCGA
rnacentral:rRNA from 1 species